rnacentral:rRNA from 1 species
AUUGAACGCUGGCGGAAUGCUUUACACAUGCAAGUCGAACGGCAGCACGGACUUCGGUCUGGUGGCGAGUGACGAACGGGUGAGUAGUGUAUCGGAACGUGCCCAGUCGUGGGGGAUAACGUAGUGAAAAUUACGCUAAUACCGCAUACGAUCUAAGGAUGAAAGCGGGGGAUCGCAAGACCUCGCGCGAUUGGAGCGGCCGAUAUCAGAGUAGGUAGUUGGUGGGGUAAAGGCCCACCAAGCCAACGAUCUGUAGCUGGUCUGAGAGGACGACCAGCCACACUGGAACUGAGACACGGUCCAGACUCCUACGGGAGGCAGCAGUGGGGAAUUUUGGACAAUGGGCGAAAGCCUGAUCCAGCCAUUCCGCGUGCAGGAUGAAGGCCCUCGGGUUGUAAACUGCUUUUGUACAGAACGAAAAGGUUUCUACUAAUACUAGGAGCUCAUGACGGUACUGUAAGAAUAAGCACCGGCUAACUACGUGCCAGCCGCCGCCGUAA